UCAGGCUGCAGAAGUUACAUUUUUGUGGAAGAAAUCAGACUUACAUUUUGGCAAUAUUUUGGAUGGUUUGGGCCAGUUCUAGGGAGAGAGAAGAAUUGACCGAAGGCAAUUUCCCUUUCAGUUGUGUAUAUCUCUUCCCUUUGCAAUUACAAACAGGCCACCUCCUUUAAGACCUGACUGCCCAGCAUUCAUUAUGCAGAUAGGGUCCAGCAUAUGUAGAAAACUAAAGGUAGGAUAAAAUUACUUUUGUUUCCUUUAAUGCAAUUUAGCAGCUGAAAAGUGUCAGUUUCCCCUCCAGAGAUUCAGGCACUAGAUCACAAAUGACUUCUGGGAUCUAAGGCAUAAUUUUUAUACAGGCUGAAAUUGAUUCAGACAUCUGAUAGAACUGUUAAGCUGUGAGAAAGUGCUGCAAGACAUUGUGCAGAGCAGAGCCAUGAGAAGAAAGGUUAAGAUUGCUGGAGAAGGGAACAGUGUUGACAAAAGAUAAUCAAGUAGCUCAAGGGUUCUUCAAGAGCAAACCCAUGAAAAACAUACAAAAUCCUAUAGAAACAAGACCAAGUAGCCUGAGGAUGGCAGUUUAGCAACGUCAGUGAUCUAAGCAGCAGCAGAAGCCAACCUUUCCCUUCCCUUUGUGACUGAAGGCUGCCCAGCCAACAGUGACUCCUUGGGUGCCUUUAUCAGGGUGGCAAGCACAUUAGCUUGUUAGCUCUAUCUACACAUUGUGAAUAUUGACCAAUAAAUCAUAAGUUUUAUUCUUCUUUUAAGCUGCAAAAUCCAUGGUGCAGAAGCUUGGUACAUAGCAAAAAGCACCCCAAUGAAAUGACCCAGAGGAGGAAGGUUACAGAACAAUGGAGAACUAUUGACUAUGAGCAGCACCUUCUCCUUUAUCACCCUUUGAGAACCACUGCCUUAGGAAAAAAAGGAGGAGUUAGAAAAGCAUGAAAACAAGUUCUGAAUUUAUAUUCAUCCUUUAUUGCAAAUUGCUGAACGAGGCGAGUUUAUGUGUUUCCUUCUAGCCUUGCCAUAGCCAGCCAGCAAAGGGUGUGAGCUAAUUGUUAAAUUCAGUUCAACAAGUUCCUCAUUAGGGGGAAAUUACCUGAGUUUGAAAUCUGCUAAUUUUCCAAUCAGGGUGAGUGUUUGCACUUGUGAUUUGGAAAUAAUUAACACAUGGUAUAACAUCAAAGCCUGUGUAAAGGCUAAUGGUAGAAGGACUAAUUUCCUUGGCAUGAAAAUGGCGUGGUUGGUUUCCUCAGAGCUCUAUCACUAUCCUUUCAGUAUUGGUAUCUGCUGUGUAGGGUGUUCUGGUAUAUAUUUAGAUUGGUUCUCUGCAGAGUUGUACUUUUUAAUUUUGAAAAAUUGAACCCUUAUGUUCCAGGGCUAUGAGUAAUAUUUUCAUUUUGAAAGGUGCUACAUUUAUUGCUUUUUUCUUCAUGUCAAUGCAGACUUUUGCACUAUUACUUGCAUCUAUUAUCUCUAAAAGGCGAUCAUAAAUCAUCAUUUUAGACUAGGGCUUAAGCCUAAAUUCUGCAAGAUUUAAAAUGUAUGUUUCCAGGAAAGCCAUAUUCUAGUCCUCAAGGGCAUUCCUAGGACUGUGAAUGACCUAUAGUAUUUAGAAAGAAAGGGUAUCCAGGUAGGACAAUUAAUUCGGAAAGCAGAUGUGUACAUGGGAGAAACAAAAGUAGCUGGAAAACACAAACAAAUUUUCUACUUUAAAGUUUCAGCUAUUGAUAUAACCUGAUCAUCACCACUUCUAUGUCUUAUCACAUAAUAUUAGCUGGUCUAAACCAGGUAUUAUUUCUGGUAAACAAUACUACCUUUAUAGCUUAGACCAUAGCACUAGUACAACUCAGAGCAUUAGUGACUUCUCACCAUGAAGCUUGCAAGGGAGAGGGAUUUAAUCUCUGGUAGUUGAGUCAGCUGCACCCAAGGGUGUCCUUAGUCCUGCUGGUGUGAGUAUAUUGUGGCUUAUUGACAAGAUGGGUGUGACGUGACAGCUACCAAGGAGAAGAGUCCAUUCCAUGUAAGCAGGCAGCAUGCAGCAGAACACAGCUGUAUAAUCUGGACUCGUGUCUAGUCUAGAAGCAGUCCAGUUUGGCCACAGGCACAGUGACACAGAGUGCGGUAAAUGAGGUCUGCUCGCCCACAGUUAGCAUCACCUUUACACCCCUAAGACCUUCAAGCAGAGCCUCCCACAAAAAAAAAAAACAAGCCAGCAAAGGUAGGGUAGCUUUAAAUGGUAUCUGAUCUACCAAGGCUUCAUCAAGCAGCAUCCUUUAGGCAGGAAGGCUGCCCUGCAAAGAUCUAGGAGGAAAAUGUGGGUUUUUCUGCCCUGUCUUCUCCAAUGUCCAUGGGUAUCUAUGGCAACUGUUUGCACUGAGAUAGGAAUUGUGUUUCAGGUACAUAUGAGUCAGCAGUUGGGAAUUCUCUUACUGGAUUAAUGUCUCCAACUUGGAUAACCUGUUUUGAACACUUCCAGUACCUUAAUUGCUCAGAGCAUUCUCUCUCAAAGCUUUUUUUGAUGAACGUAAAUAGAGCUUGCAUUUCUUCUUUCACAGAAAAAGCAUUUGUGAUUUGUGUCUAUGCCCAUCAAGUAGCAUUCAUGCUGCCAGAAAUGCUACACACAGGUGGUAGGGAUUUGCAUUUUCAUGCGAGCUGAUGACGACUCCCCUUCUCGGUCAGUUCUGCUUUUUAUAGCUCAUUGCUUAUGAAUUACUGUUGCUUCUGAAAUUCUGGGCUGUGAUUCUCAUAUCCAUUUUUCUUUUGCUCUGUUUCUGAUCAGCUGCCUACUUUUGUUCAUGACAUCAUCUGCUGCUGCUUCUGUGCUUCAGGAGAAAUUGUUAACAUCUGAAUCAGUUGCUUUGGUUAUAGACAAUAUUUCCUAUGUCAGAUUCCCAGAACUGUGAGAGCAUCUUCUUGUCUCUCUCUCAUAUAGAGCAUCCCCUUUUCCUUGCUCAUACGUAACGUGAAAAAGAGCAUAAGCAAGUGAGUCUGAGAGGCUAAUACAUUAAAAUUCAUGUUUUUAAUUGGAGAUUAUUGCUUGUUUUUCUGAGGUUAUUUAUUUUCUCUGCGUAACUUAUCUUUUACUUCCAAAAAGGAUCGAGUUUCAAGCUCUGGCCAAGUAACCCUUAUUUCACAAGAAACACAUUGGCCAUUUCACUCCAGUUCUGACUGAGCAGCUAUUGUGUUACAAAAGACACACCUGGCAACUGGGGGCUCAUUUUUUUCUGUCGUGCCAGCUGCCUUGGAAGUUGCUGAGGAACCCAAAUGCACAAGCAAGGAAAAUCAAAGCCAUCAGGUUAUCUGCCAGACAGGAGUCCUGCCUGUGGUCUGCCUGUGGAUAACAUUAAGGAGAUAAAGCUCAACCAACUCUUUCUCUCUUCCUCUCUCAUCCUUUUGGUUAUGUGCUUCUUUCUAUUAGGCAACCUCUUAUUUCAUGCUCCCUCUUCCCUUUGAAAUUCUCUUCUUGGAGGCCUAAAGAUUGCAGUGUCCCACCUGCAGGGGCAAAAAUGGCCCCUACCACCAAAACGGGAGAUGUCUGAAAAAGUCCCCUGGUGAGAUGACGCCUUGUUUGGCUGCCUGCUGAGGACCCAAGGCAGCUCCAAGCCCUAAGGUAAGUGGCUGUGACAUUACAAUGGUCUUUGCUGUCAGUAUAAUUAUGCAUCAGAAAAUCAAGCAGCUUCUGGAAGCUAGUAGUAGUUUCUUAAAAAUAGUAAUGAGUUAAAUGUUAGUUGCUCUUUUACCAGCAAAUUGUGGAUGUCAAAUGUGCACACACACACACAACUGCCUCCUAUAAUUCAUCUACUUUUAACCACUUGUACAGAUUAAAUUGAGUGACAUGCAAAACAGAUAUUAAAGACAUAUGAAUACUAAGUUGAGCAUAUCAAAUGAAGGUUUUGGGGAGUUAUGUCUGAUCCAACAUAGAAAUUAUUUGACUGUAAGUUUUAUACUGAUAUUUCCAAAUCACCACUGGGGCUAUCAAGCCAUUCUCUGGUUUUAACGUAAAUUGACCUUUUGUUAAGCAUUGGCCCAGCAGAUAGCAUCCCCUCGAAGGAAACAGACAGGCACGUGCUUUGUUCGGAUCCUCCAACUCCUGAACAGCCAAUGCAGGUCUUCAUAUUACAAGGCAGCAACUAGCAUAAGAAACAGCUCCCAAGUGCUGGGCUGCGCCGGAGACCUUCUCCCACGGGGGACAAGGGAUUCUUUGAUGCACAGUCUUCUGCUGUGUACCUUGUAUUUUUAUUGCAGUUUCCUGUCUUCAUUGUUGGUGGUAUCUGGUAACUUAAGGUCCUGAAGUCUUACUGUGUGGCAAGAAAAAAUUAAGCUGGGGCAGAGGAGGAGGAAGAAGAGAACCAGGACUAGUGCUCACACCUGCAACCUUUUCUCCAUGGGUCCUUUUUCCUUGAGCACUUUCUACUAUGCCAAAAGACUGCAAGGUGUAAAAACAUGCAGCAACUAUUUUGUAUCAACUAAUGCAUACAGUACACAGGUACAACUAACAGUCUACUCAGCUAAGUAUUACUUAAGUGUUAACUAUUACCCAAGUACUUUAGUACAGGUUACUCCACUGAGUAUUGCAAAUAUUAUCAGGCAAGCAGCUGUUGGUCAGGAAGGGAACUUUUCAUUUCCAUGGCUCUUUAGAGUGGAUCAUGACCCCUUGUCCGGCCAAGCUGCUGUCUGCUGAAUCUCUGCCUUCUUUCUGAGGGUGCUGCAUCUUUCCCCCCUCCCUAGUAUUUUCCAACUAACUUACUGCUGCCACAAUUUCACUUCUCCCUGCAUACUUACUUUCAUAUGGCUUUAGCUUACACACUUUCUUGCAGCUGGACAACUUUGUAACCAAAACUCAGCCAAGGUAUCACAGCUGUGUCCCCACAAAAGCAAGCCUUGGGUCUUCACAGGCAGCUGAACAUCUGCACUGCUGUUUGGUGUUUGAAAGUUAGCUGCACAUUUCCACCAGAACAGAGACAUUAUAUUGCUCUCUGUUGUGACACCUAGACUGGUGUUAUACUGACCAUUAACAGUGGGGGGUUUGAAUUCUGAUUAGGGCAGGUUAGACUACUAGCUCUUUGGAUAUUUUGGUACUGUCAUGAAGUUCAUGCUAGGCAGCUCAUUGCAACACCAGCAACAGAGACCUUGAAUUAACCAUCGCUUAUAUCACUGAAAGUCUUUCUGAUAAAACACACUGGUUUUGAUUUCUGAAAAAAAAAUCUUCUAGUGAUAGAAACUGUCCCACAGGCUCAGAUAGGUUGUCCCAGUGAUUGCUUUAACCCCUUAAGAAGGACCAAGUGCACCAGAAUGUUUUCAGCAAGACAUGCUGAUUUUGAAAUAGACUGUGAAAGAUGUGAACAACAGAUUUUGUGGUGGAGUCUUUUAUAGAGAACAAAGAGAGUAUUAGAAUCCACCUUGUGAAAGUUCAGACGUACAGGAAGAAGACCAAGCUUUUUGAAUAGCAGAGCAGAAAAGCCCCCAGGUAACUGAUAACUAAAAGAAGCACUUACUUAUCAGAAGCCACACAUAUGGAGAACGAAGAAUAUGAUCUUGGUGGGGCAGCUGGAAAAAAAAUCUUUGAUUUGCUGGUUAAUCAGAAUGUACUGCAGGGAAAUCAAUAUAAGGAUAAUCUCAUUUGCUAUUUAUUUCUGGCUCAUAUUUUCACAGGCUUGGAAAUACGCUUUUCAUCAGUCAUCUACUCUGGAGAGGAACGGCAUGAAUCUCAACGCUUCUGCUAUUUUCACCUGCAAAAUAUUCAAAAUUGUUUCUGCAGAAGCUAUGGGCAGCAGUAGGGGACAUUUAUUUAAAGAAAUUUGGAACAAUGGAUCGCUAGUGAUUAAAAUAAAAAUGGAAAUUACAUUCCAGAUGCAGGAGGCAAAUGAGUAUUUCAUUUAUGAUACUUUGCCAUUUAGCAUGUAUGAACCAACUCCGAGCGGCUGCAUUUUGGAAAUUUUGAAACCUGGUUGUCUUUUGAAUCCUAUGAAAAAUGUAGAUUCAGGCUCCGUGUUUUAUGCUAAUGUGAAUAGGUGAAGGAGAAUACCAGUUUGUAGAAACAAGGGAAUUAGCAUGUGAAUGGGGAGUAUUGGACUUCUCCCUCUUGAAAAGGCAGCUUUCAAAGUAGAAACUGGGAUUUAAAUCUCACACUGAUUUUUCUCUUUUCAUAUCCUCAAAUCAUGUUACUUGCAGUGCAUUAACAGCCUUUGAGCCUGUACCCCAUUGGGCUACAGGUGCUGUCAUUUUAACUAAUAGCUAUAAUCUACAAAUCUAACAAUCAAUGAACUAACCUGUUUUUUCCACCACCGCCCCCCUCCCUUCUUAAUUCUACUCUUGGAUCUCAGUUUCAGUUUUCAGGACUGACGGUUAUAAAAAUACUUGCAAAGAAAGAAGCUGACUGUGAGACCAGCCUGGACUCCCUCCUUCCUCAUCAAAUCCUGUUUUUUCAGAGGACUGCAUUGUCAGCCUCACCAGAGAGGUUUGCUUCCAGUGCUGAUGUAUUCCUUGCAAACAAAACAAGCUUGCAGCAGCAUGUUGAUGAAUAAGCUAGAUUGCAGUGACACAGGAGAAUUAGUGCCUACUGAAGGGAGACAACUUGUGGAGAUAGUUUCAGGAAUGCUUUCAGCAUAAGCGGCCAUCCACAUGUCUAAAACUGCACAGCUCAAACAACUUAGUCCCAUACUGCUACAGAUCAAGCCAUCUUCAGCAGAGACUACAUUCGCAUUCUCUGCUCAUGUGAAGUAAAAAUUCAGGAAUCUCUGCUGUGACUGAAACUCCCCAAUGAAAGCAGAUUUUUGCCUUCCGAGCUCUUCUCCUCCCUCUCCCCCACCUCCAUUCCCCUGAAUUAGCCAUAGCAACCUGCCCUGCAUUUCAAACACCUGCUUGCAUUUAUUCAAUGGUGUGACAGUUUGCUUUCCUUCAUUGCAUUUUAUUUGCCUUUGUUUAAUGAUUAAAGCAAACCAAAACCGUUGUA